AAACUGUCCCAAAAUGUUUCAUCUUGAAACAAUGAGGAGAGAAAAUGGCAGCCUCGUGACAAAAUAGACACACAAGAGGAAAAAGAUGGCGGAAGUGGAUGCUGAGUUCGAAUCAAGCCAAUAUGCCAUAGAAGAAGAAGAGGAAGAUCCGGAGUUGAUGAUGGAAUCGCUGAUGACAGUUCAGAUGAAGAGACACCUCUUAAGACCAGGAAAACAACAAUGGAUGAGCUCCUGAAAGACUGAAGAAACUUCUAGAUAGGAUCCUUCAUCUCAAUUUCCGCCUAAAAUGUCAUACCUAAAUCUAACUGCCUGUAGCUCAGGACCUGAAGCAAGGAUAUGCAUUUUCCUGAUACUAUUUGAAAGGAAACACUUUGAUGUUUGUGAAGAUGUGAAAUGACUGUAGGAGAAUAUAACACAACAGAUCUGGUAAAAGAUAAAACCAACAGGAAAAACAUUUUCUAUUUGUAUUUUUGUUGCAUCAUCUUUGAAAUGGAACAGAAAAACCAUACAUUGAGAUAGGAAGCUGCAGAUCAUUUAGAUGUUGUCCACAACAGGGCAAUUGUGUGUGUGCAAAGUGUCAAACGGAUACAUUUAAGAAUGAGAGAGCUACAUAAUAUUUAGUAUGAAGUCUCCCAGGUGUCCCUCACGAGUUUGCCCAAAUGUACCCAAGUGGCCGAAUUGGUCAAUUGCAACAUUUUCAAGUACAUAGCUAGAGAGAACAUACAAACAUGCUAUGGUAAUAAACAAUUUAAGUUUACACACAAA